AGAGUUUGAUCCUGGCUCAGGAUGAACGCUGGCGGCGUGCUUAACACAUGCAAGUCGAACGAAGCGCUUGGAUGGAAUUCUUCGGAAGGAAGCUCAAGUGACUGAGUGGCGGACGGGUGAGUAACGCGUGGGUAACCUACCUCGUACAGGGGGAUAACAGUUAGAAAUGGCUGCUAAUACCGCAUAAGCACACAGGGCCGCAUGGUCGAGUGUGAAAAACUCCGGUGGUAUGAGAUGGACCCGCGUCUGAUUAGCUAGUUGGUGGGGUAACGGCCUACCAAGGCGACGAUCAGUAGCCGG
rnacentral:rRNA from 1 species